rnacentral:rRNA from 1 species
GUUGGCUUAGAAGCAGCCACCAUUGAAAGAGUGCGUAAUAGCUCACUGGUCGAGUGACCCCGCGCCGAAAAUGUACCGGGGCUAAACAUAUUACCGAAACUGUGGAUGAACCUCUUUAGAGGUUCGUGGUAGGAGAGCGUUCUAAGGGCGGUGAAGUCAGACCGGAAGGACUGGUGGAGCGCUUAGAAGUGAGAAUGCCGGUAUGAGUAGCGAAAGAAGGGUGAGAAUCCCUUCCACCGAAUAUCUAAGGUUUCCUGAGGAAGGCUCGUCCGCUCAGGGUUAGUCGGGACCUAAGCCGAGGCCGAUAGGCGUAGGCGAUGGACAACAGGUAGAGAUUCCUGUACCAGUGCUAAUUGUUUAACCGAUGGGGUGACACAGAAGGAUAGGGAAUCGCACGAAUGGAAAUGUGCGUCCAAGCAGUGAGUGUGAGAAGUAGGCAAAUCCGCUUCUCGCGAAGCAUGAGCUGUGAUGGGGAAGGAAAUUAAGUACGGAAGUUCCUGAUUUCACGCUGUCAAGAAAAGCCUCUAGGAAGAGUAGUACUGCCCGUACCGCAAACCGACACAGGUAGAUGAGGAGAGAAUCCUAAGGUGAGCGAGAGAACUCUCGUUAAGGAACUCGGCAAAAUGACCCCGUAACUUCGGGAGAAGGGGUGCUCUAUUAGGGUGCAAGCCCGAGAGAGCCGCAGUGAAUAGGCCCAGGCGACUGUUUAGCAAAAACACAGGUCUCUGCAAAACCGUAAGGUGACGUAUAGGGGCUGACGCCUGCCCGGUGCUGGAAGGUUAAGAGGAGUGCUUAGCUUCGGCGAAGGUACGAAUUGAAGCCCCAGUAAACGGCGGCCGUAACUAUAACGGUCCUAAGGUAGCGAAAUUCCUUGUCGGGUAAGUUCCGACCCGCACGAAAGGCGCAACGAUCUGGGCACUGUCUCAACGAGAGACUCGGUGAAAUUAUAGUACCUGUGAAGAUGCAGGUUACCCGCGACAGGACGGAAAGACCCCGUGGAGCUUUACUGCAACCUGAUAUGGAAUGUUUGUACCGCUUGUACAGGAUAGGUAGGAGCCGAAGAGACGUGUGCGCUAGCAUACGAGGAGGCAAUGGUGGGAUACUACCCUGGCUGUAUGACCAUUCUAACCCGCCACGCUUAGCGCGUGGGGAGACAGUGUCAGGUGGGCAGUUUGACUGGGGCGGUCGCCUCCUAAAGAGUAACGGAGGCGCCCAAAGGUUCCCUCAGAAUGGAUGGAAAUCAUUCGCAGAGUGUAAAGGCACAAGGGAGCUUGACUGCGAGACUGACAAGUCGAGCAGGGACGAAAGUCGGGCUUAGUGAUCCGGUGGUUCCGCAUGGAAGGGCCAUCGCUCAACGGAUAAAAGCUACCCCGGGGAUAACAGGCUUAUCUCCCCCAAGAGUCCACAUCGACGGGGAGGUUUGGCACCUCGAUGUCGGCUCGUCGCAUCCUGGGGCUGUAGUCGGUCCCAAGGGUUGGGCUGUUCGCCCAUUAAAGCGGCACGCGAGCUGGGUUCAGAACGUCGUGAGACAGUUCGGUCCCUAUCCGUCGCGGGCGCAGGAAAUUUGAGAGGAGCUGUCCUUAGUACGAGAGGACCGGGAUGGACACACCGCUGGUGUACCAGUUGUUCCGCCAGGAGCAUCGCUGGGUAGCUAUGUGUGGCAGGGAUAAACGCUGAAAGCAUCUAAGCGUGAAGCCCCCCUCAAGAUGAGAUUUCCCAUUUCUUCGGAAAGUAAGAUCCCUGAAAGAUGAUCAGGUAGAUAGGUUUGGAGUGGAAGUGUAGCGAUACAUGGAGCGGACAAAUACUAAUCGAUCGAGGACUUAACCAAAA